GCCUAAAGCAGCCGUAGCCGCUUUCACAGGAGGGUUCCGUUAAAUCCACCUGCUUAACAGAUGGCCUUUGGAGGGGAUACUAUAGAGCUAGGAGGCGGGAGAGGCAAGCGGUACUCGAUGGGUAGGGGUAAAAUCCGUUGAUCCAUUGAAGACCGCCAGUGGCGAAGGCGGCUUGCCAGAACGCGCUCGACGGUGAGGGAUGAAAGCUGGGGGAGCAAACCGGAUUAGAUACCCGGGUAGUCCCAGCUGUAAACGAUGCAGACUCGGUGAUGAAUUGGCUUUAUGCCUAUUCAGUGCCGCAGGGAAGCCGUUAAGUUUGCCGCCUGGGGAGUACGGCCGCAAGACUGAAACUUAAAGGAAUUGUUGGGGGAGCACCACAAGGGGUGAAGCCUGCGGUUCAAUUGGAGUCAACGCCGGGAAUCUUACCGGGGGCGACAGCAGGGUGAAGGUCAAGCUGAAGACUUUACUAGACAAGCUGAGAGGAGGUGCAUGGCCGUCGCCAGCUCGUGCCGUGAGGUGUCCUGUUAAGUCAGGUAACGAGCGAGACCCCUGCUUCUAGUUGCUACUUUUAUUCUUCGGAGUAGAAGGGCUAAUUAGAAGGACUGCCGCCGCUAAGGCGGAGGAAGGAGGGGGCUACGGCAGGUCCGCAUGCCCCUA
rnacentral:rRNA from 1 species